CAUGUCCUUUAUGAAUUAAAUUUAAGGUUUGGCCUGCUCAAUGAAAUUUAAAUAGCCGCAGUAUUUUGACUGUGCAAAGGUAGCAUAAUAAUUAGUUUCUUAAUUAGAAGCUGGAAUGAAUGGUUCGACAAGAAAAUGACUGUCUCUUUUUUAAUAUUUUUGAAUUUUAUUUUUAAGUGAAAAAGCUUAAAUUUAUAUAAAAGACGAGAAGACCCUAUAGAGUUUAAUAUUUAAUUUAAAUAAGAUUAUAGAAUACUAAUUUUAAAAUUAUUUAUUUAGUUGGGGUGACUAAUAGAAAAGCAAAAUUCUUUUAAUUAUAAAUUGAUAAUUUUCAAUUUUUAAAUCUACAAUUUGUAAAAAUAAAAUAAAUUACCUUAGGGAUAACAGCGUAAUUUUUCUUUAAAGUUCUUAUUAAAAGGAAAGUUUGCGACCUCGAUGUUGGAUUAAAAUUAAUUUUUGGUGCAGUAACUAAAAAAUUGGGUCUGUUCGACCUUUAAAAUUUUACAUGAUCUGAGUUUAAACCGGUGUGAGCCAGGUUGGAUUCUAUCUUUAGAAAAAUUUUAUAUUUUAGUACGAAAGGACCAAAUAUAAAUUAAAUUAAUUG
rnacentral:rRNA from 1 species